rfam:Trichomonas vaginalis G3, whole genome shotgun sequence.
AAGUCUUUGUUUUCUUCCGAAAACAAGCUCAAUGAGAGCCCAUCGGGGGUAGAUCUAUCUCAUGACGAGUGGUGGAAUACUUUGACUCAUGAGAGAGAAGCUGAGGCGAAGGCGUCUACCUAGAGGGUUUCUGUCGAUCAAGGGCGAGAGUAGGAGUAUCCAACAGGAUUAGAGACCCUGGUAGUUCCUACCUUAAACGAUGCCGACAGGAGUUUGUCAUUUGUUAAUGGCAGAAUCUUUGGAGAAAUCAUAGUUCUUGGGCUCUGGGGGAACUACGACCGCAAGGCUGAAACUUGAAGGAAUUGACGGAAGGGCACACCAGGGGUGGAGCCUGUGGCUUAAUUUGAAUCAACACGGGGAAACUUACCAGGACCAGAUGUUUUUUAUGACUGACAGGCUUCGGGUCUUUCAGGAUAUUGUUUUUGGUGGUGCAUGGCCGUUGGUGGUGCGUGGGUUGACCUGUCUAGCGUUGAUUCAGCUAACGAGCGAGAUUAUCGCCAAUUAUUUACUUUGCCGAAGUCCUUCGGUUAAAGUUCUAAUUGGGACUCCCUGCGAUUUUAGCAGGUGGAAGAGGGUAGCAAUAACAGGUCCGUGAUGCCCUUUAGAUGCUCUGGGCUGCACGCGUGCUACAAUGUUAGGAUCAAUAGGACUGCGAGCCUGAGAGGGUGCGCUACUCUUAUAAUCCCUAACGUAGUUGGGAUUGACGUUUGUAAUCAGCGUCAUGAACCAGGAAUCCCUUGUAAAUGUGUGUCAACAACGCACGUUGAAUACGUCCCUGCCCUUUGUACACACCGCCCGUCGCUCCUACCGAUUGGAUGACUCGGUGAAAUCACCGGAUGCUUACGAGCAGAAAGUGAUUAAAUCACGUUAUCUAGAGGAAGGAGAAGUCGUAACAAGGUAACGGUAGGUGAACCUGCCGUUGGAUCAGUU